GGGCUUUCUUGGCCCUCGAACCCUGUGGCCAGCAGGCUGUGAACAUCGCCAUCUAAGAAAAGCCUGUAUCAUCUCAGCUGUCCAGCCCCCCACUCUCUCCUGUGGCAGACAUCUCAGUGGCAUUUUCCAUCUGGAGCCUGGGGAUGCUCCCUGCUUCUCAGGGAGAUGGAUGAGAAAGGAUGACGAUGAAACAGAAAGUGGUCCAGAGACUCAAAGAUGUGUACCCCAGAGAGCCUAUAUUAGUUAGGCUUCAGGCCACUAUGGCGAAAUACCUUAUAGAAGGAUUUCUUUUGGCUCCAGGCCUUAGGAGAUUCAGCUCCUCAUUUAUAGGGAAGGCGUGGCCGGGCAAGAGGAAGCAGCAUGAUCAAACUGCGCCCUGAGACUCUCUUCUCGAUUUGGUGAAAUCUGGAGAUGGGCCGGCUCUGAGGCUGCCUGUGCAGGGGAGGUGAUCCUUAAAUUGAAUUGCAGCCCUCGGAGGGGUGUUUGCCCCGUCAGCUGCUGCCAGGAUCUGACAUGUUAAUGGGGCUGAGGAAACAAUGGGUUUCAGAGGUAAUUGCUGAAGCAAUGACUUCCAGGCAACAUUUGACUUAAAAGAAGUGCUGUUGCUGAAGGGAGGGGCAGCUCUACUCCAGAACUCCAGCCUGCGUCUAUGCUUAACUCUGGUGGGCCUGCACCCUGCAACCCCAGAUGCUGACACGUGGCUUCCUGGGCACUGGCCUUCGUUAUGUCUGUCAUCUACAGUGGGACUUGCUUGGGUAAAGGAAGUUUGGGAUGCUGCCAGGAAAGGGGCCGGAAGGUGAGGUUCCUGAUGAAACAUUUGGGAAAGCAGACUCCAGAGGCAGAAGGGCCUGAGACUCCUCAUGCCCCACUGCACAUGGGCUGCCAUCCCUGGAGACCUCUGUGGUCUUGCACACAGUGCACCAUGGAUUUGGUAUAAAGGGUCGUCCUUGCUGUCCCAAAGGAAGCCA